rnacentral:rRNA from 1 species
AGAGUUUGAUCCUGGCUCAGGACGAACGCUGGCGGCGUGCUUAACACAUGCAAGUCGAACGAGGCGCUUUUGCGCUUAGUGGCGAACGGGUGAGUAACACGUGAGCAACCUGCCCUUGGCUCUGGGAUAGCCUCCGGAAACGGGGAUUAAUACCGGAUGUGACCUUGGUCUGCAUGGACCGGGGUGGAAAGUUUUUUCGG